AUAGAUGGUUCAAUGGCCUUGACUCUUGUGCGUGUGAAGGUCGGGCCAUGGGGUGGCACAGGGGGAUACGAAUGGGACGAAGCAAGCUAUGACGGAUACGAUGGUGGUUUUACUGGCAUCCGUAGCAUUAGUAUAGGGUCCUCCUCUACGUAUGUCAGCUCAAUGUUAUUUGAGUACGAUGACAACGGGCAACGCGAUGACAACGGGCAACGCGUGAUGGGAAUCCAGCGUGGAAAGGAAAAACCAGAGCAAAUCCGAACGCAGGAACUGGACUUCCCGGGGGAGGUGUUGACCCACAUCAGCGGCUGCCACAACAACAACGUUAUUGUGUCGCUCCAGUUCAGGACCAACCGGAACAGGACAUUGGGAUACGGGAAAAUGGAUGCAGAAAACGAGCAAUGGAGGCGGUUCGAGGUGUCCAUGGAACAAGCGGGUUCCAUCGUCGGCUUCUUCGGCCGGAGUGGCGACCAGAUCGACGCCAUCGGCAUCUACAUUGCCGUGUGGAACCCCGACAGGUUCUUCGACGGCAUGCGCAGGCAGGGCGUCGUCACUCACCGGACGUCGUCGCCGCUUCACCUGAAGCUGCGAGAAAUGGAGAAGCGGAAGAAGCUUGAGGCGGACAGCACACACCUGCGUGAACGCAAGUCGCUGUUGGAGUCAGAAAUUAGCAGGUAUAAGGAUAAGAAAGGGGAACUACAAGCAAAACUAGACGGGUUAAAAAAUCUUGAAGUAAAACUGCUGCAGGACCAAAAGGAGCGGGAAUCACAGCUGGAGUCACCGAAGCUCCAACGCCUAUCCUCACAAAGGAAGAGAAAAGAGAAACAAGAAAGCAUCGAUCGGUUAGAACGGAACCUAGAUGUGCUGCACAAGCAGAUAGUAGAAACCCUGCAGCACACGCAAGACGCGAAACGACAACUCGAACAGGAGGAAAAAGAGCUAUGGGAACAAGAUCAGAUUAGGGUGUCGCAACUACGUGAAAAACGCGAGGGGCUAAGCAGGCUGAGAGAUGAGCAAAACAAACACAUCACAAAUCUACAAAUGCUUCCGCCUUACAAUAAAUUAGGUAGUACUAGUGAUCAGAUGCACAUUAAUCUGAAAAUGCAGCAAGCACAAAUCACACUGGACAUACAAAACCUGCAACUUAUAGACAUGGAACACAAGGAAAAGUACCUGCAAACCAAAUGGGGAAUUUAUUUUGCGCAAAAGAAAUCUGAUUAUGAAAAAGAAUAUGCCAUAAAGGAAAACAUAAGGAAGGAGUAUCGUACAAGGCUGCAGAAGUUGAAAGAACAAGAAAAUACCAUCAAAGAAUUGUUAGAUCCAUACAUGGACUCUGACAGCGAUAAUUGAAGGAUGUACCAAAACCUGUAACUGGAAUAACAACUCAUAUUUAUAUAUAUACUAGAAAAAAUACCCGUGCGUUGCAAUGGGUGAAGAGCUGAAGGCUAUUUUAGUCUUAUUAUUAUCAUACGAUUUAGCUAGGGUGAAAAUCACUGUCGGAAUUCACUUGGAUAUAUAUUUUUUAAGAAAAUCAUGAGCUGCAAUUAGGAUUCUGACUCUCAUAUCAAGUUAGCAUGCAAGUUUUUUAAAUAAUUUAUUAUAUGAUUUUUUCUGUAUUUUCAAAAGCGUCCCAAUACAAGUUAGUAUGCAAGUUUUUUUAAAGAGUUUUUUAUAUAACUCCUUCUAUAUUUUCCAAAGCGAACUAAAUAAAAAAAGGGAAUCAAUCACGGAUAUGUAUUUUCUGUGGCGAAUGCAGAACCAAAUUUUGGGGGUGCUAUCUUUUGCGAGCGCGUAAAAGGACUGUACAUUAGUAUAUUAGAAGAAAGUGGAAUUUUUGUCAUAUAAUGCAAAUGGCUAAACGACCAUCAUCGGGGGACGGGGGAUGGGGGUGCUCGUAAAAAAUAGCACAAAACUAUUGAUUAUUACUUAUAUAAGUUACAAGGAUGGGUUUACCAUCAUGUUAUCAUGAUUAAUACCUGUUUAAGUUUA
rnacentral:lncRNA from 1 species